GACAGAGGUCUCGAGCGUUAGGCGGAAUCACUGGGCUUAAAGCGUGUGUAGGCGGAUGUCUAAGUACCUUGUGAAAUCCCACAGCUUAACUGUGGAAUUGCUUGGUAUACUGGAUGUCUUGAGCCAGCUAGGGGCAACCGGAACAAAUGGUGGAGCGGUGAAAUGCGUAGAUAUCAUUUGGAACGCCAAUGGUGAAAACAGGUUGCUGGGGCUGUGCUGACGCUGAGACACGAAAGCCAGGGGAGCGAACAGG
rnacentral:rRNA from 1 species